CCUUGUCGCGGUCGGACUCGUAGACGAGGUGCCGCGCUUCGGCCUCGGCGUGGUCGUAAUCGGCGGGGAGGAUCCAAUCGCGCGUCUCCCGCGGGUCCAUUUUCCCGUCGCGGUUCUUAUCGCGGAACUCCACGAACUGCUCCCGCUCCGUCUUCACCCAUUCGGGUUCCUCCGCCUCCCCGUCGUGGCUGUACAUAUCGCCUAUGUACUCCUCGAGGUCGAUGAAGCCGUCGCCGUUCUUAUCGAUAUCCUCCAUCGUCUCCU
rnacentral:lncRNA from 1 species